UUGCACUUUUUAUCCCUUUGCUUUAUCCCGCUUCCCUCCCUCUGUCUCGUUGUCACUCUGCCACCUUAAAACACUGCAAUAGUUUGUCCAAGCCAAAUCUUCACCGCUUUUGUUUCCUUGACCACAGCUGACCCAUAGUGGGAACCCAUUGUCUGCGAGUGAGCGACCUCUGACCUGCCAGGGCCUGGGACCUGCUCUCCACCACCCUUGAGGCAGUUUGAAAGAGAAUUGAGAAGGGGAUCUUGAGAGAAAAGAGUCAGUCGGUCAGCUGGGUGAGAUGAUGUCACUGAGCAAUUGCUGGAAAUGACAUCAUGACACAUUCAGAUGGAGUCACGACCAUCUUUGAGACCAUCGCCUUGCCAACCUGAAAGAGAGGACUUCUGCCGUGACUCAUCGCCUCUUUAUCGGAAGAUGUGCUGCGGGUAAUGCAGUGUUAACACAUGAUGGAUUUCACGCCGAGGCCUCGGAGCGGGUCGGAAGAAAGAGAGAGAAAAAAAGAGAGGAUGAGGAAUGCAGUCACGCUAGGAAGGGAUCUUUUUAAGGCCAGUACGGAGCGGAGGAACGAUUACAGUGACCAACUACUCUUUCAACGUACAUAUGGCACGUAGGUAUUCUAUUAAGAUGGACCACUUUUUCCUCAUUAAUAUGCACAUUUAUGCAGCUCCAAAAUCUAAUCAGAUCAUCUGCUCUGGAGUUAUUGUUCAAGAGUUAUUGUGUUCGCAAGAAUGUGUCCACAUACAGACAUAAUGUUCCAUAUACCAUAAAUGAGGGUCAUAAAAAUGCAUUCAAUGCACAAUUUCAUAUUACAAGGAAAUACUGUACGACAGAGUACUGUACUGUUAGACAAAAUUGUUACAUGGCUAGCUUAAAGAGAUCAUAGAUUUUGUUGCUAAUGUUGGGUGCAUAUCACUCCAUCACCUACAGCUUCACCACCAAAUGAUGAGCUCAAUUGUUAACAAAGUGUUCCAUUGUGACACAUGAUAAGGAUGGAGAUACAAAUCUCCUUUAAGGAAAUAUGAUUAGUAGGGCUGU